rnacentral:rRNA from 1 species
GACGAACCGAGCGAACGUUGUUCGGAAUCACUGGGCUUAAAGGGCGCGUAGGCGGGCGAUCAAGUCAGGGGUGAAAGCCCCCAGCUCAACUGGGGAAGUGCCUCUGAUACUGAUCGUCUCGAGGGGGAUAGGGGCGUGCGGAACUUCCGGUGGAGCGGUGAAAUGCGUAGAUAUCGGAAGGAACACCGGUGGCGAAAGCGGCGCGCUGGAUCCCUUCUGACGCUGAGGCGCGAAAGCCAGGGGAGCAAAGCGGG